UGGGUGCAACAACAAUUUGAGCCCAGUUUUAUGAGAUUUUACUUUAUUUUAUUUUGUGGGAUGUUGAUUAUAUUCUCUCCUAGUUGUGCUUAUGUCCCUGUCUUCGUCCUCCUAAAUAGUGGAAAAUAAAAAUAAAAGCAAAUCCCAGGAAAUCCUGUGCUUUUGAGCUCCAUCACAGAACACACAAGACUUUUCACCUUAAUACUGGUCACACGCACUGCACUGCCUGUAUUGUGACCAAGAACUGCAGAAUAUUAGUGCAAAUAGAACAUUUGUAGCAAGUUAAAAAUGCAAAAUAUUAUUCAAAUUCAAAAACGAGCACAGAUCGUGAAAAGUAUUCAUAAAUUGACAAAUAUGUGACCGAACUGCAAAGCACAUAGAACGAAAUUCAUUUAAUGUCUUAAUUCAAACUUGAAAUUCUUCAGGUUUAAGAUUCACAAUCCUUGCAUGAAAAACUGAUACCCCCUCCUUUAUCAUUUUACAUUUAAGGGUAUCUUUCCUUAUUUCGUUAACUCCAACAUUUCUAAUCAUACAAUCCGAUAUAGACCUUCUUGUAAUGCCAUCACAUUUUACAGACUAGAGAUGUGAACACUUUUUCGGGGGGCUAUUUUAAGAGAGUCUUCCUCUGUGUUGCGGUGUAGAAAAGGGCCUUUCUGCGAUUUUCUUGUGUCAUGUAAAGGGUGAAACAGACGUGGCCGGACCAUUUCUGAAGGACUUCGGCGUCUCCCCGCAGAGCGCGUGCCUGCCUGUUCUUCGUUACCGUGAGCACACCCGUCAUUCCCAUCCGCCACCGCGGUGAGGCGAUUCCGGAGGGCUCGCGCAGCCGGGCGAGCCACAGCCGCCGCCCCCCCCCCGUCAGCGCAUGAACUCCGGGAUUAAAGGAGAAACUUGGACGGCGAUGAGACGCGCACAGAGUGGAGCUCUGCAUUGCAACGCACCCUUCAUUAAAGCACAACAACAACAAAAAUGAGGACAAGAAACGACACAUCCCGCUGUAGACGAAGGGGGAAAGAAAUGUUGACCCCAACCACAACAUUGAAACUAUUGUGUUGCUGAUCCUUAGCAGUAGCAGUGAACACAACUGUCGCCAGAACCUUGUCAGUCCUGGUCAGCUGGGGGAUGCCAGCAGCAGUUUCCGUGGCAACCCAAGCUGCUGCCUUCUGGGAAGAAAGACGAGUGACACAAACCUCUCUUCUGUGAGAAGCUGGCCGUGUUUCAGGGAGGAGGAGAGGAGGAACAGAGUGUUUCAUCCAUCUCCGGGAGAUUUGCAGAAAAGCAAGGAAACACACAGGAUCUUUUACAGACGGGAGCAGCAAACUGUGAAUGCAAAUCAGAGAUACCAGGGAACUGCUCACAGCUGUGGAAUCAGUAUCUGGCGGCUGGAAAGUUCCUGUUUCAUUUCUUCGCUCUCUGCCAUGGAAAACGUACAGCUGCCUUUCUCAGUGCACAGCUUGGAAAGAACGCUACCCAAAGCCCAUAAUCCACAAAUGGUAGGCCAGUUUUGCAUCUCGGUAGUGUGCGAUUGCCUGAGUACAGGGGACCUGGACUGACGUCCCGGCUAAGGCCUGCAGCAGCAGAUUAGUGUGACGGAGCCCCUGGAGAGACUGGAUCUGGCUCUCUUGAGUUAGUCACUGUGUUGUGUGUCUGGGUAGUGCAGCACAAUUGUCAUGCUGCUGUACUGCUUGAAAUAGGACGUCUGCUGGACCAGAAGAGGAGACAGCGAUGGCUGUGCUCUCAGGUAAACUGCUGCAGCCUCCACUAGAAAUGUAAAAAAAUUCUAAAACAACUUAGUUUGGGUGAGGAACAAAUAACCAUGUCAAUAAGCAAUCUUUAAUUCACAUUCAACAAUAUUCAAAAGCCUGGCCCUUGCAAUGUAAUGUAACUUACGCACUACCAAUCUACCAAUCUGAAGGGAUGUAGUAUCUAAUGUGUUACUUUUACAAGUCAAAUCUAAUUAGUUAAGCACAUUCCUAACAAAAAUUAUGAAUGAGAGAAGGUUAUUCAUUAGAAUUGUUUGGUUGCUUCUUUUUUAAGGAUGUCAUCCAGUUGUUUUUUGAAAGAAGCCGGGGUAUCAGCUUCAACAACAAGGUUGCAUAGCUUGUUCCACACUCCCACACCCCUUUGUGUAAUGAUGUGUUUCCUGUUUUUUCAAGGCGAUGUAAUUAUAUUACUUGUGCUUUCCACUUCUGUCCCCUGGUUUGCAUUUCACUGUUUAUUCUGUAGAAGUUUGUAAGUGUGACUUUCAAUGCUUUUGAGGAUUAUGAAUACUUUAAUCAGGUCUCCUUGUAAUCCCUUUUAUUCAAGACUAAAAUUCUGCCUAGGGCAUGUCUUUAAGCCCAGGAAUGUGUUUUGUUGCCCUUAUCAGGAAUGAGUCCAGAGCCGCAAAAUGUUUUGGUAAUGUGGUGAUUGAGGUCUUAUUAUCGCCUUGCAGAAUUUAAAACAGAAUCCCCCUCAUUUUAAAUUCUGCGCUGGACAACUGG
rnacentral:lncRNA from 1 species